CCAAUAGCGUAUAUUAAAGUUGUUGCAGUUAAAAAGCUCGUAGUUGAAUUUCGGGAUUGGCGCAUCGGUCGUGCCUCACGGGGUAUGAACUGGUGCAGUCAAUUUCUCACCUUCUGGAGAACCGCGAUGUCCUUAAUUGGAUGCCGCGGGGAACCAGGACCUUUACUUUGAAAAAAUUAGAGUGUUUAAAGCAGGCAUUUUUGCUUGACUACAUUAGCAUGGAAUAAUAAAAUAGGACGGCAUGGUUCUAUUUUGUUGGUUUCUAGGACCACCGUAAUGAUUAAUAGGGAUAGUUGGGGGCAUUAGUAUUCAAUUGUCAGAGGUGAAAUUCUUGGAUUUAUUGAAGACUAACUACUGCGAAAGCAUUUGCCAAGGAUGUUUUCAUUAAUCAAGAACGAAAGUUAGGGGAUCGAAGACGAUCAGAUACCGUCGUAGUCUUAACCAUAAACUAUGCCGACUAGGAAUCAGACGAUGUUAAUUUUUUAAUGACUCGUUUGGCACCUUACG
rnacentral:rRNA from 1 species